rnacentral:rRNA from 1 species
GAUGAACGCUGGCGGCGUGCCUAAUACAUGCAAGUCGAGCGAACAGACGAGGAGCUUGCUCCUCUGACGUUAGCGGCGGACGGGUGAGUAACACGUGGAUAACCUACCUAUAAGACUGGGAUAACUUCGGGAAACCGGAGCUAAUACCGGAUAAUAUAUUGAACCGCAUGGUUCAAUAGUGAAAGACGGUUUUGCUGUCACUUAUAGAUGGUUCCGCGCCGCAUUAGCUAGUUGGUAAGGUAACGGCUUACCAAGGCAACGAUGGGUAGCCGACCUAAGAGGGGGAUGGGCACCAACGGGAUAGGGCGACGGGCCAAAACCCCACGGGAGGACGGCCCGGACAAAUUCGCGCAAAGGGGGAAAGGAAAAUGGGGCAAAGCGCGGGGGGUUAGAAAAGCUUUUGGGUAUAAAAAAUGUUUGUUUGGGGAGAAAAAAAGGUGUAAAAAAAGCUACAAGUCUGACGGUACCCUAAAAAGAAAAACCGGCUAAACACGUG